UGAGGAAUUUUGCGCAAUGGGGGCAACCCUGACGCAGCAACGCCGCGUGAGUGAAGAAGGCCUUUGGGUCGUAAAGCUCUGUCAAUCGGGAAGAAGUUACUGUUAUCUAAUAGGUGGCAGUAUUGACGGUACCGGUGAAGGAAGCAUCGGCUAACUCCGUGCCAGCAGCCGCGGUAAUACGGGGGAUGCAAGCGUUAUUCGGAAUUAUUGGGCGUAAAGGGCGCGUAGGCGGUUUUGUCGGUCAGAUGUGAAAGCCCAGGGCUCAACCCUGGACGUGCAUUUGAAACAGCAAGACUUGAGUACGGGAGAGGAAAGCGGAAUUCCUGGUGUAGAGGUGAAAUUCGUAGAUAUCAGGAGGAACACCGAUGGCGAAGGCAGCUUUCUGGACCGAUACUGACGCUGAGGCGCGAAGGCGUGGGUAGCGAACAGG
rnacentral:rRNA from 1 species